AGUGAACGCUGGCGGUAGGCCUAACACAUGCAAGUCGAACGGCAGCACAGAGGAGCUUGCUCCUUGGGUGGCGAGUGGCGGACGGGAGAGGAAUACAUCGGAAUCUACUUUUUCGUGGGGGAUAACGUAGGGAAACUUACGCUAAUACCGCAUACGACCUACGGGUGAAAGCAGGGGAUCUUCGGACCUUGCGCGAUUGAAUGAGCCGAUGUCGGAUUAGCUAGUUGGCGGGGUAAAGGCCCACCAAGGCGACGAUCCGUAGCUGGUCUGAGAGGAUGAUCAGCCACACUGGAACUGAGACACGGUCCAGACUCCUACGGGAGGCAGCAGUGGGGAAUAUUGGACAAUGGGCGCAAGCCUGAUCCAGCCAUACCGCGUGGGUGAAGAAGGCCUUCGGGUUGUAAAGCCCUUUUGUUGGGAAAGAAAUCCAGCUGGUUAAUACCCGGUUGGGAUGACGGUACCCAAAGAAUAAGCACCGGCUAACUUCGUGCCAGCAGCCGCCGUAA
rnacentral:rRNA from 1 species